rnacentral:rRNA from 1 species
GUCUGCAACUCGACUACAUGAAGCUGGAAUCGCUAGUAAUCGCGAAUCAGAAUGUCGCGGGUGAAUACGUUCCCGGGUCUUGUACACACCGCCCGUCACACCAUGGGAGUCAGUAACGCCCGAAGCCGGUGACCCAACCGAUAAGGAGGGAGCCGUCGAAGGUGGGACCGAUAACUGGGGUGAAGUCGUAACAAGGUAAC